CGAGCGAACGGACGAGAAGCUUGCUUCUCUGAUGUUAGCGGCGGACGGGUGAGUAACACGUGGAUAACCUACCUAUAAGACUGGGAUAACUUCGGGAAACCGGAGCUAAUACCGGAUAAUAUUUUGAACCGCAUGGUUCAAAAGUGAAAGACGGUCUUGCUGUCACUUAUAGAUGGAUCCGCGCUGCAUUAGCUAGUUGGUAAGGUAACGGCUUACCAAGGCAACGAUGCAUAGCCGACCUGAGAGGGUGAUCGGCCACACUGGAACUGAGACACGGUCCAGACUCCUACGGGAGGCAGCAGUAGGGAAUCUUCCGCAAUGGGCGAAAGCCUGACGGAGCAACGCCGCGUGAGUGAUGAAGGUCUUCGGAUCGUAAAACUCUGUUAUUAGGGAAGAACAUAUGUGUAAGUAACUGUGCACAUCUUGACGGUACCUAAUCAGAAAGCCACGGCUAACUACGUGCCAGCAGCCGCGGUAAUACGUAGGUGGCAAGCGUUAUCCGGAAUUAUUGGGCGUAAAGCGCGCGUAGGCGGUUUUUUAAGUCUGAUGUGAAAGCCCACGGCUCAACCGUGGAGGGUCAUUGGAAACUGGAAAACUUGAGUGCAGAAGAGGAAAGUGGAAUUCCAUGUGUAGCGGUGAAUGCGCAGAGAUAUGGAG
rnacentral:rRNA from 1 species